rnacentral:rRNA from 1 species
GGUCAAGUUAAUAAGGGCAUAUAGCGGAUGCCUUGGCGGUAAAGGGCGAUGAAGGACGUGGUAGGCUGCGAUAAGCCUCGGGUAGCUGUCUAACAAGCUUUAAUCCGGGGAUUUCCGAAUGAGGGAACUCAGUAUCUUUAAUCAGAUACUAUUACUGUCUGAAUGCAUAGGGCAGUAAGGCACACCAGGUGAACUGAAACAUCUAAGUAACCUGAGGAAAAGAAAUCAAUUUAGAGAUUGCCUCAGUAGUGGCGAGCGAACGGGCAAGAGCCUAAACCUGUCAAAUGUCAAAGCUUACGGGCGUUGUUUGACAGGGGUUGUAGGGAUUGUUAUGUGUAGCUGUAAAUACACAGGAGAGUAAAAAAACUAGUCGAUAGCAAAAUAAUCUGGAAAGUUUAGCCAUAGCAGGUAAUAGCCCUGUAUGCGAAAUCGAAUAGUCUUUCCAACAAUUACCUAAGUACAACGGAACACGUGAAACUCUGUUGGAAUCUGCGAGGACCAACUCGUAAGGCUAAAUACUUUUACCGACCGAUAGUGAAGUAGUACCGUGAGGGAAAGGUGAAAAGUACCCCGGAAGGGGAGUGAAAUAGAACCUGAAACUGUAUGCCUACAAGCAGCGGGAGGCACUUUAUGUGCUCACCGUGUACUUUUUGUAGAACGGACCGGCGAGUUACAGUAUGUAGCAAGGUUAAGCUUAUUAAAGCGGAGCCGCAGCGAAAGCGAGUCUGAAUAGGGCGUUUAGUUAUAUGCUGUAGACCCGAAGCUGAGUGAUCUAUCCUUGGUCAGGGUGAAGCGAAGGUAAAACUUUGUGGAGGCCCGAACCCACCAACGCUGAAAAGUUGGGGGAUGAACUGAGGAUAGGGGUGAAAGGCCAAUCAAACUCAGAAAUAGCUGGUUCUCCCCGAAAUAGCUUUAGGGCUAGCCUCAAGUGUUUGAUACUGGUGGUAGAGCACUGAAUGGACUAGGGGCCUUACACGGCUACCAAAUCCAAUCAAACUCCGAAUGCCAGUAUUUUAAGCUUGGGAGUCAGACUAUGGGGGCUAAGCUUCAUAGUCAAAAGGGAAACAGCCCAGACCAUCGGUUAAGGUCCCCAAAUACAUGCUAAGUGGUAAAGGAAGUGAAACCACUUAGACAACCAGGAUGUUUGCUUAGAAGCAGCAAUCAUUUAAAGAGUGCGUAACAGCUCACUGGUCAAGUGAUUUUGCGCCGAAAAUAUAGCGGGGCUCAAGCAUGUUACCGAAACCAUGGAAUUUACGUAAGUAAAUUGGUAGGGGAGCGUUAUAUAAGGAUUGAAGUUCAACUGUAAGGUUGGGUGGACUUUAUAUAAGUGAGAAUGCCGGUAUGAGUAACGAAAGACAGGCGAGAAACCUGUCCACCGAAUGCCUAAGGUUUCCUGGGGAAGGGUAUUCCGCCCAGGGUUAGUCGGGGCCUAAGCCGAGGCCGAAAGGCGUAGGCGAUGGAUAACGGGUUAAUAUUCCCGUACGACCAGUUUAUGUUUGAGCAAUGGGGUGACGAAGAAAGGUAGGUUAGCGCGGUUUGGUUGUCUGCGUGCAAGCGAGUGGGGUGUCAGCUAGGAAAAUCCGGUUGACGUUAAGCCCGAGACGUGAUGCCGAGCCAAUUGCGGUGAAGUAAUUGAUCCUAUGCUUCCUAGAAAAACCUCUAGUUAGUAAUCUGGUUCUCGUACCAAAACCAACACAGGUAGGCAAGUAGAGAAUACUAAGGUGAUCGAGAUAACUCUCGUUAAGGAACUCGGCAAUAUAACCCCGUAACUUAGGGAAAAGGGGUACCACGGUAGGGUGAGAGAAUUUACUUUUUAAGCUCGAGGUGGUUGCAAUGCAAGGCUCAGGCGACUGUUUACUAAAAACACAGGUCUCUGCUAAGUCGUAAGACGAUGUAUAGGGGCUGACGCCUGCCCGGUGCUGGAAGGUUACGAGGAGAGGUUAGGGAUUCGUCCCGAAGCUUUGAAUCUAAGCCCCAGUAAACGGCGGCCGUAACUAUAACGGUCCUAAGGUAGCGAAAUUCCUUGUCGGGUAAGUUCCGACCUGCACGAAUGGCGUAACGAUCUGAGCGCUGUCUCAACGAGAGACUCGGUGAAAUUGUAAUAUUGGUAAAGAUACCAAUUUCCCACAAUAGGACAGGAAGACCCCGUGAACCUUUACUGUAGCCUGAUAUUGAACUUUGGUUUGUUAUAUGCAGGAUAGGUAGGAGGCUUUGAAGCCGGAGCGUCAGCUCUGGUGGAGCCAACGGUGAGAUACUACCUUUAGCAUUCUGGAGUUCUAACUGCAUUCCGUUAUCCGGGUGCAGGACAGUGGCAGGUAGGCAGUUUGACUGGGGCGGUCGCCUCCCAAAAAGUAACGGAGGCGUACAAAGGUUCCCUCAGAGUGUUUGGAAAUCACUCGUAGAGUAUAAGGGCAUAAGGGAGCUUAACUGCAAGACCUACAGGUCAAGCAGAAACGAAAGUUGGUCCUAGUGAUCCGGCGGCUCAGUGUGGAAUGGCCGUCGCUCAACGGAUAAAAGGUACUCCGGGGAUAACAGGCUUAUCACGCCCAAGAGUCCAUAUCGACGGCGUGGUUUGGCACCUCGAUGUCGGCUCAUCGCAUCCUGGGGCUGUAGUCGGUCCCAAGGGUUUGGCUGUUCGCCAAUUAAAGCGGUACGCGAGCUGGGUUUAGAACGUCGUGAGACAGUUCGGUCCCUAUCUAUUGUGGGCGUAGGAGAAUUGAGGGGAUUUGUCCCUAGUACGAGAGGACCGGGAUGAGCGAACCUCUGGUGUGUCAGUUGUUCUGCCAAGAGCAUUGCUGAUUAGCCAAGUUCGUAAAGGAUAAGUGCUGAAAGCAUAUAAGCAUGAAGCCCACCCCAAGACUAGUUCUCCCAUCCUUUAUGGAGUAAGACCCCUUGCAGAACACAAGGUUGAUAGGUCAGAAGUGUAAGCACAGCAAUGUGUUUAGCUGACUGAUACUAAUAGGUCGAGGACUUGACCUUAUA